rnacentral:rRNA from 1 species
AGCGAACGCUGGCGGCAGGCUUAACACAUGCAAGUCGAACGCCCGGGCAACCGGGAGUGGCAGACGGGUGAGUAACACGUGGGAACAUGCCCUUCGGUUCGGAAUAACUCGGGGAAACUCGUGCUAAUACCGGAUACGUCCGUAAGGAGAAAGAUUUAUCGCCGAAGGAUUGGCCCGCGUCCGAUUAGCUAGUUGGUGGGGUAAAAGCCCACCAAGGCGACGAUCGGUAGCUGGUCUGAGAGGAUGANCAGCCACACUGGGACUGAGACACGGCCCAGACUCCUACGGGAGGCAGCAGUGGGGAAUAUUGGACAAUGGGCGCAAGCCUGAUCCAGCCAUGCCGCGUGAGUGAUGAAGGCCCUAGGGUUGUAAAGCUCUUUCGGCGGGAAGAUAAUGACGGUACCCGCAGAAGAAGCCCCGGCUAACUUCGUGCCAGCAGCCGCCGUAAU